rnacentral:rRNA from 1 species
UACGUAGGGUGCAAGCGUUGUCCGGAAUCAUUGGGCGUAAAGCGCGUGUAGGCGGCUCGAUAAGUCUGCUGUGAAAGUUCAGGGCUCAACCCUGAAAUGCCGGUGGAAACUGUCGAGCUAGAGUGUGUCAGAGGAUGGUGGAAUUCCCGGUGUAGCGGUGAAAUGCGUAGAGAUCGGGAGGAACAUCAGUGGCGAAGGCGGCCAUCUGGGACAACACUGACGCUGAGGCACGAAAGCGUGGGGAGCAAACAGG